AACGUAGGUGGCGAGCGUUAUCCGGAUUUACUGGGCGUAAAGCGUGUGCAGGUGGGUUAACAAGUGGUGUAUGAAAUCUCUCAGCUUAACUGAGAGCGGUUAUGCCAGACUGUUAGCCUCGAGUACGAGAGAGGGACGUGGAAUUCCGGGUGUAGUGGUGAAAUGCGUAGAGAUUGGGAAGAACACCAGUGGCGAAGGCGGCUAUCUGGACGGUUUCUGACGCUAAGACGCGAAAGCGUGGGGAGCAAACAGG
rnacentral:rRNA from 1 species